rnacentral:rRNA from 1 species
GAUUAUGGCUCAGGACGAACGCUGGCGGCGUGCCUAACACAUGCAAGUCGAGCGAGGAGAUCCUUCGGGAUGAUCCUAGCGGCGGACGGGUGAGUAACACGUGGGCAACCUGCCUCAUAGAGAGGAAUAGCCUUCCGAAAGGGAGAUUAAUACCUCAUAACAUUGCAGUUUCGCAUGGAACAGCAAUUAAAGGAGUAAUCCGCUAUGAGAUGGGCCCGCGGCGCAUUAGCUAGUUGGUGAGGUAACGGCUCACCAAGGCGACGAUGCGUAGCCGACCUGAGAGGGUGAUCGGCCACAUUGGGACUGAGACACGGCCCAGACUCCUACGGGAGGCAGCAGUGGGGAAUAUUGCACAAUGGGGGAAAUCCUGAUGCAAGCAACGCCGCGUGAGUGAUGACGGCCUUCGGGUUGUAAAGCUCUGUCUUCAGGGACGAUAAUGACGGUACCUGAGGAGGAAGCCACGGCUAACUACGUGCCAGCAGCGGC